CCCUUAGAUGUUCUGGGCCGCACGCGCGCUACACUGACGAAUGCAACGAGCUUAUAAUAACCUUGGCCGAAAGGUCUGGGUAAUCUCCAAAUUUCGUCGUGAUGGGGAUAGAUUAUUGCAAUUAUUAAUCUUCAACGAGGAAUGCCUAGUAAGCGCAAGUCAUCAGCUUGCGUUGAUUACGUCCCUGCCCUUUGUACACACCGCCCGUCGCUCCUACCGAUUGAAUGGUCCGGUGAAGCGUUCGGACCGUGGCCUUUGGACGGUUCACCGUCUGUUGGCUGCGGGAAGUUCGUUAAACCUUAUCAUUUAGAGGAAGGAGAAGUCGUAACA
rnacentral:rRNA from 1 species